UGGGGAAUUUUGGACAAUGGGCGAAAGCCUGAUCCAGCAAUGCCGCGUGUGUGAAGAAGGCCUUCGGGUUGUAAAGCACUUUUGUCCGGAAAGAAAUCCUCUGGGUUAAUACCUCGGGGGGAUGACGGUACCGGAAGAAUAAGCACCGGCUAACUACGUGCCAGCAGCCGCGGUAGUACGUAGGGUGCAAGCGUUAAUCGGAAUUACUGGGCGUAAAGCGUGCGCAGGCGGUUUUGUAAGACGGAUGUGAAAUCCCCGGGCUUAACCUGGGAACUGCAUUCGUGACUGCAAGGCUAGAGUAUGGCAGAGGGGGGUAGAAUUCCACGUGUAGCAGUGAAAUGCGUAGAGAUGUGGAGGAAUACCGAUGGCGAAGGCAGCCCCU
rnacentral:rRNA from 1 species